rnacentral:rRNA from 1 species
UGGGGAAUAUUGCACAAUGGGCGCAAGCCUGAUGCAGCAACGCCGCGUGAGGGAUGACGGCCUUCGGGUUGUAAACCUCUUUUAGCAGGGAAGAAGCGAAAGUGACGGUACCUGCAGAAAAAGCGCCGGCUAACUACGUGCCAGCAGCCGCGGUAAUACGUAGGGCGCAAGCGUUAUCCGGAAUUAUUGGGCGUAAAGAGCUCGUAGGCGGUUUGUCGCGUCUGCUGUGAAAUCCGGAGGCUCAACCUCCGGCCUGCAGUGGGUACGGGCAGACUAGAGUGCGGUAGGGGAGAUUGGAAUUCCUGGUGUAGCGGUGGAAUGCGCAGAUAUCAGGAGGAACACCGAUGGCGAAGGCAGAUCUCUGGGCCGUAACUGACGCUGAGGAGCGAAAGGGUGGGGAGCAAACAGGCUUAGAUACCCUGGUAGUCCACCCCGUAAACGUUGGGAACUAGUUGUGGGGUCCAUUCCACGGAUUCCGUGACGCAGCUAACGCAUUAAGUUCCCCGCCUGGGGAGUACGGCCGCAAGGCUAAAACUCAAAUGAAUUGACGGGGUCAUAGCUGUUUCCU